rnacentral:tRNA from 1 species
GCCGGCGUGGCGCAAUUGGUAGCGCACUCGACUUGUAAUCGGGCGGUUAGGGGUUCGAGUCCCCUCGUCGGCUCCA